rnacentral:rRNA from 1 species
UACAGGGGGUGCAAACGUUGCUCGGAAUCAUUGGGCGUAAAGCGCACGUAGGCGGUUCGUUAUGUCGGAUGUGAAAGCCCUUGGCUUAACCGAGGAAGUGCAUCCGAAACUGGCGAGCUAGAGUACGAAAGAGGAUCGCGGAAUUCCCGGUGUAGAGGUGAAAUUCGUAGAUAUCGGGAGGAACACCGGUGGCGAAGGCGGCGAUCUGGGUCGAUACUGACGCUGAGGUGCGAAAAGCGUGGGGGAGCAAACAGG